AGUAUAAGCAUCUAUACCGUGAAACUGCGAAUGGCUCAUUAAAUCAGUUAUCGUUUAUUUGAUAGUACCUUACUACUUGGAUAACCGUGGUAAUUCUAGAGCUAAUACAUGCUAAAAACCUCGACUUCGGAAGGGGUGUAUUUAUUAGAUAAAAAACCAAUGCCCUUCGGGGCUCUCUGGUGAUUCAUAAUAACUUAACGAAUCGCAUGGCCUUGUGCCGGCGAUGGUUCAUUCAAAUUUCUGCCCUAUCAACUUUCGAUUGUAUGGUCUUGGCUUACAAUGGUUUCAACGGGUAACGGGGAAUUAGGGUUCUAUUCCGGAGAGGGAGCCUGAGAAACGGCUACCACAUCCAAGGAAGGCAGCAGGCGCGCAAAUUACCCAAUCCCGACACGGGGAGGUAGUGACAAUAAAUACUGAUACAGGGCUCUUUUGGGUCUUGUAAUUGGAAUGAGUACAAUUUAAAUCCCUUAACGAGGAACAAUUGGAGGGCAAGUCUGGUGCCAGCAGCCGCGGUAAUUCCAGCUCCAAUAGCGUAUAUUAAAGUUGUUGCAGUUAAAAAGCUCGUAGUUGAACCUUGGGCCUGGCUGGCCGGUCCGCCUCACCGCGUGCACUGGUCCGGCCGGGCCUUUCCUCCUGGGGAGCCGCAUGCCCUUCACUGGGUGUGCCGGGGAACCAGGACUUUUACUUUGAAAAAAUUAGAGUGUUCAAAGCAGGCCUAUGCUCGAAUACAUUAGCAUGGAAUAAUAGAAUAGGACGUGUGGUUCUAUUUUGUUGGUUUCUAGGACCGCCGUAAUGAUUAAUAGGGAUAG
rnacentral:rRNA from 1 species